GCCCUUCUUAUGAAUUUGUCCUGAUUAUUAGCCGAUGGUGACUCCUUUUCUCUGACUUUAUGGCUUAAUAUCUAAAUAUCAUGGUAAAGUUAUAGGAAAACAAUACUAAACUAGCUAAAAUAAGUAUAACCAAAUCGAGACACCUGAUAAACGAGAGCUUGUGACGAGCACAGUCGUCAAAGUUGUGCAACUACCAGAGGGUUCCCAAGCCCUCUGUAGUUGUAGCUCAUUAUUUUUCAAGUUCCU
rnacentral:misc_RNA from 1 species